rnacentral:rRNA from 1 species
CCUACGGGAGGCAGCAGUGAGGAAUAUUGGUCAAUGGCCGUAAGGCUGAACCAGCCAAGUAGCGUGAGGGAAGACUGCCCUAUGGGUUGUAAACCUCUUUUAUGCGGGGACAAAGGUGUCCACGUGUGGAUGUUUGCAGGUACCGCAUGAAUAAGGCCCGGCUAAUUCCGUGCCAGCAGCCGCGGUAAUUCGGAAGGUCCGGGCGUUAUCCGGAUUUAUUUGGGUUAAAGGGAGCGUAGGCCGGUCUUUAAGCGUGCCGUGAAAUUUUGGGGCGCAACCAUGGGAGUGCGGCGCGAACUGGAGACCUUGAGUGCGCGGAAGGCAGGCGGAAUGCGUGGUGUAGCGGUGAAAUGCAUAGAUAUCACGAAGAACUCCGAUUGCGAAGGCAGCUUACUAACCUGCCACUGACAUUGAUGCUCGAAAGUGUGGGGAUCAAACAGGAUUAGAUACCCCGGUAGUC